GACGAACGCUGGCGGCGUGCUUAACACAUGCAAGUCGUACGGUAAGGCCCUUUCGGGGGUCCACGAGUGGCGAACGGGUGAGUAACACGUGAGUAACCUGCCCACAACUUUGGGAUAACGCUAGGAAACUGGUGCUAAUACUGGAUAUGUGCUCCUGCUGCAUGGUGGGGGUUGGAAAGCUCCGGCGGUUGUGGAUGGACUCGCGGCCUAUCAGCUUGUUGGUGGGGUAGUGGCCUACCAAGGCGGCGACGGGUAGCCGGCCUGAGAGGGUGACCGGCCACAUUGGGACUGAGAUACGGCCCAGACUCCUACGGGAGGCAGCAGUGGGGAAUAUUGCACAAUGGGCGCAAGCCUGAUGCAGCAGCGCCGCGUGCGGGAGGACGGCCUUCGGGUUGUAAACCGCUUUCAGCAGGGACGAAGCUUUUUGUGACGGUACCUGCAGAAGAAGCACCGGCUAACUACGUG
rnacentral:rRNA from 1 species